CAGCGCCACAAGUGGCAAUCACAUUUAUUGGGCCUAAAGCAUCCGUAGCCGGCUCUGUAAGUUUUCGGUUAAAUCUGUACGCUCAACGUACAGGCUGCCGGGAAUACUGCAGAGCUAGGGAGUGGGAGAGGUAGACGGUACUCGGUAGGAAGGGGUAAAAUCCUUUGAUCUAUUGAUGACCACCUGUGGCGAAGGCGGUCUACCAGAACACGUCCGACGGUGAGGGAUGAAAGCUGGGGGAGCAAACCGGAUUAGAUACCCGAGUAGUCC
rnacentral:rRNA from 1 species